rnacentral:tRNA from 1 species
GCCUGGGUGGCUCAGUUGGUUGAGCGUCUGACUGCGGCUCUGGUCAUGGUCUCGCAGUUUGUGAGUUCGAGCCCCAUGUCGGGCU